rnacentral:rRNA from 1 species
GCUGCGGCCGAUUAGGUAGAUGGUGGGGUAACGGCCCACCAUGCCGAUAAUCGGUACGGGUUGUGAGAGCAAGAACCCGGAGACGGUAUCUGAGACAAGAUACCGGGCCCUACGGGGCGCAGCAGGCGCGAAACCUUUACACUGCACGACAGUGCGAUAGGGGGACUCCGAGUGUGAGGGCAUAUAGCCCUCGCUUUUCUGUACCGUAAGGUGGUACAGGAACAAGGACUGGGCAAGACCGGUGCCAGCCGCCGCGGUAAUACCGGCAGUCCAAGUGAUGGCCGAUAUUAUUGGGCCUAAAGCGUCCGUAGCCGGCCGGACAAGUCCGUUGGGAAAUCGACGCGCUCAACGCGUCGGCGUCCAGCGGAAACUGUCCGGCUUGGGGCCGGAAGACCUGAGGGGUACGUCCGGGGUAGGAGUGAAAUCCUGUAAUCCUGGACGGACCACCAAUGGGGAAACCACCUCAGGAAGACGGACCCGACGGUGAGGGACGAAAGCUAGGGUCUCGAACCGGAUUAGAUACCCGGGUAGUCCUAGCUGUAAACGAUGCUCGCUAGGUGUGCCGUCGGCUACGAGCCUGCGCUGCGCCCUAGGGAAGCCGAGAAGCGAGCCGCCUGGGAAGUACGUCUGCAAGGAUGAAACUUAAAGGAAUUGGCGGGGGAGCACCACAACCGGAGGAGCCUGCGGUUUAAUUGGACUCAACGCCGGAAAUCUCACCGGUCCCGACAGUAGUAAUGACGGUCAGGUUGACGACUUUACCCGACGCUACUGAGAGGAGGUGCAUGGCCGCCGUCAGCUCGUACCGUGAGGCGUCCUGUUAAGUCAGGCAACGAGCGAGACCCGCACUUCUAGUUGCCAGCAAUACCCUUGAGGUAGUUGGGUACACUAGGAGGACUGCCGCUGCUAAAGCGGAGGAAGGAACGGGCAACGGUAGGUCAGUAUGCCCCGAAUGGACCGGGCAACACGCGGGCUACAAUGGCUAUGACAGUGGGAUGCAACGCCGAGAGGCGAC